rnacentral:misc_RNA from 1 species
AGAUCUGAAUGUUUGAAUGAUUGCAGAACAAUGUUAGGUUAAGGUGCUUUCUCUGAAGUAGUUUCCCACAGGUUAAAUUCCAAACGUGCUUUUCUUUAGGAAAAUCAAACUUUUGUAGCUGCUCUCUAACACAUUUAUUGUUUAUACAGAUGUAAUAAAAACAAGUUUUUUCUUAAGUGAGAACCAGACAACUUUGAAAUAUGAAGACGACAGUAAGCCAAUAUUUAGGUGUAUGAGAUGUCGUUACGAAUCAUAUUUAUUUACUAGUUAAUUCAUAGCCUAAUAAAAUCAUAUUUAUUUACUAGUUACUUAAUAGCAUAAUCAAAUCAGAUAUAUUUACUAGUUAUUUCAUAGCCUAAUCAAAUCAGAUAUAUUUACUAUUUACUUCAUAGCCUAAUCAAAUUAGAUAUAUUUACUAUUUACUUCAUAGCCUAAUCAAAUCAGAUAUAUUUACUGGUUACUUCAUAGCCUAAUCAAAUCAGAUAUAUUUACUGGUUACUUCAUUGCCUAAUCAAAUCAGAUAUAUUUACUAGUUACUUCAUAGCCUAAUUAAAUCAGAUAUAUUUACUAGUUACUUCAUACCCUAAUCAAAUCAGAUAUAUUUACUGGUUACUUCAUAGCCUAAUCAAAUCAGAUAUAUUUACUGGUUACUUCAUAGCCUAAUCAAAUCAGAUAUAUUUACUGGUUACUUCAUUGCCUAAUUAAAUCAGAUAUAUUUACUAGUUACUUCAUAGCCUAAUCAAAUCAGAUAUAUUUACUGGUUACUUCAUUGCCUAAUUAAAUCAGAAAUAUUUACUAGUUACUUCAUAGCCUAAUCAAAUCAGAUAUAUUUACUAGCUACUUCAUAGCCUAAUCAAAUAAGAUAUAUUUACUGGUUACUUCAUAGCCUAAUCAAAUCAGAUAUAUUUACUAGUUACUUCAUUGCCUAAUCAAAUCAGAUAUAUUUACUGGU